AAAAAAAAAAAAACGUGGAUAACAUACCUAUAAGACUUAGAUAACUUCGGGAAACCGAAGCUAAUACCGGCUACUAUAUUUAACCGCAUGGUUCAAUAGUGAAAGCCUGUUUUGCUGUCACUUCUAGAUGUAUCCGCGCCUAAUUAGCUAUUUGGUAAGGUAACGGCGUACAAACGCAAAGAUGCGUAGCCGACUGGAUAGGGUGAGCGGCAACAAUGCAAAUGAGAAACGGCACAUACUCAUACGGUAGGCAGCAGUAGGGAAUCUUCCGCAAUGGGCGAAAGUCUGACGGAGCAACGCCGAGUGAGUGAUGAAGGUCUUUUGUUUUUUUAAUGCUG
rnacentral:rRNA from 1 species